GUGGUUGUUCUCUUGGGGAGCUGACGACUGCUGCUGCACUGAGGCAAAUUUCAGGCUCUCAGAUAAUGGAGAGGAGCUGUACAUCUGUGUCUAAGGAAGAAGAAGGAAAAAAAAAAAGAAGAAGAAACGUGCUGUGCAUAUAGAGAAGACUAGGCGUGUGUGUAUGGAUGAGUGUGCAGUCUGUGUGCAUUAUGGCUCGAAGCCAAAAAUUCUGGCCAUCAACCUUUUGAAAAUAAU